ACUCUGUAGUCUAAACGAGAAGACGCAUAGGUGUAAUGUCGACUCUAGCCUGUCACAACAGUGUCCUCCUGGGGCUCCUUAUACUGCAAUUGUGCUGUUUGACCGCCCAUGGAUGGUGCAUGAUGACUUUGCCCAUAACAGAGAUAAAGGACGGACUGAGCCAUACAUACUGCGAGUACAAAGGCGUCCAUUAUGAAAUCGGCUCCAGUUUCAAAAUCCCGAAGGAGUGCACUGAAUGUAGCUGUAGUAAAUCGGGCAUGGGUUGCUGUGGCUAUGGUAUUGCCGCUGGUGUUUAUGGCCCCAUACCAGGAUGUAAAGUAAUAGCGCAUGACUGCACUCCUUAUAUGGUCAAAGCGGAGGACGAAACAAAAGACUGUUUGACUGGAGGACCCAUAACACCUAUUGGGAGAAAGUGAAAUCAGAUUGUCCACUUAGAGGGAUACAGGGCCCACGCUGACUGUCUGACAGUGGGAUUAGGGUUUCUUGGGUUAAACCCUACAACUUUGGUCACGCUUGGAUCAAUCUGCUAUCCCUACAAUUCAGUUCAGGCUAGGCAUAGCCUAGACUUGAUUAUCUCCCGCACAAGCCAAUCAGGACUUAAUUAUCUGCCGCACCAGCCAAUCAGAACUUAAUUAUCUCCUGCACCAGCCAAUCAGAAACGAUCCACCAUCCUAAAAUAUACAUGCAUACUCUAAAUAGACGUCUUUCUUUUCCGUAUUGAUGUUUUUUCUUUUCUUUCUGGUAAUGGUAUAUUUGGAUAUUGCUGGGUACCAUGCUGUGGCCUAUUUUUGGUUGAAUCAGUGAUUGCUUGUUCCAUUAUCAAUUUUAUGCUUGGUUUUCUAAGUCAAAAUCGUUAAAUCCCAAGCAUUUAUUCAUUCAUUCAAAGUCAAAAUAAUUAUCAAAAGCUGUCAUGGCGCAGGGUUUUUCUUUCCAACUUAAAAAAAUAAGCUUCUUCCUAAUGACAGAGUAUAGAUGUGGUAUACAUGUAAGUUUGCU